UACAGAGGUCCCAAGCGUUGUUCGGAUUCAUUGGGCGUAAAGGGUGCGUAGGUGGCGCUGUAAGUCAGGUGUGAAAUUUCGGGGCUCAACCCCGAAACUGCACUUGAUACUGCGGUGCUUGAGGACUGGAGAGGAGACUGGAAUUUACGGUGUAGCAGUGAAAUGCGUAGAUAUCGUAAGGAAGACCAGUGGCGAAGGCGGGUCUCUGGACAGUUCCUGACACUGAGGCACGAAGGCCAGGGGAGCAAACGGG
rnacentral:rRNA from 1 species